CAACUACACCUGGUACAGAGAGAAUGAAGGACAACUGAAGGAGCUGCAGACUGGAUCUAAUCUCACCUUCAAUGGGACAGAUCAUACACACACAGGACGCUACUACUGUCAAGUCAAAAACCAACAUGGUACUCAAAACACAUCAGUGUUGCUGGACAAGAGAGUGAAAUCUGGAGUUGCAAAAAUGUACGAUUGUCAGCAGACUUUAAUUCCACUCCUGAUCAUCUUAACAUUUUUAUCCUAUACGUAUCCUGACUGAUUCGUAUCCUGACUGUUGGAUUUGGACUUAGAAUUAGACAAUUGAACAACAAGCUGAAGGUUCACAAUGUUGCAGGCACAUAUGCUUCUCUUCAGCUCUUUGCUCAGGUGUCUGAUUUUGAGGCUUUGAAUAUUAAGAAAGAUGACAUACAAUAAACAACAAAUAAACAUUUGGUAAUUUCACCCAAUUUGUCCCUCUGCCAAAAAAUAUGGGUAACAAUGGGGCCUCUAUUUUUUUCAUAAUAAAUAAAGUUUACUCUUUACACUUUCCUGCAACAGUGCAGCUUUGACGUUAGUAUUUUUUUUUUACAUGUAGUGAUUAAUCUGUGACGUUUACAAUAUCCUACAUCCCACUGGGAUCUUGCAGCAACACACAAAUGCUUUUAAUCUGUAAAUCCAUGAAUGUAUGCACAUUUAUGUAUUUAGGAUACCGCUUUUUAUGCUAAAUGUACUAACAAUUUGAACUAACAAAAAAUAUUAUUUGACAUUAUUUGAUCCCAUAUUAACAUUAUGAUUUUAUAUUUGUUGUUUUUGACAUGUAACAUUAAUAAAUAU